AACUAGCCCUGAUUGAAGCGAUAUCUUUUUUGUUUUAAAUUUAAAACAAAAAAAUAAAGCGAAAAGCAGGAAUAUGA
rnacentral:sRNA from 1 species